rnacentral:rRNA from 1 species
UUUUUUUUUUUUCUAAGCACAGGCGCGUAUACGGAGGGUGCAAGCGUUAAUCGGAAUUACUGGGCGUACAGCGCACGCAGGGCGGUCUGUCAAGUCGGAUGUGAAAUCCCCGGGCUCAACUGGGAACUGCAUUCGAAACUGGCAGGCUAGAGUCUUGUAGAGGGGGGUAGAAUUCCAGGUGUAGCGGUGAAAUGCGUAGAGAUCUGGAGGAAUACCGGUGGCGAAGGCGGCCCCGUGGACAAAGACUGACGCUCAGGUGCGAAAGCGUGGGGAGCAAACAGGAUUAGAUACCCUGGUAGUCCACGCCGUAAACGAUGUCGAUUUGGAGGUUGUGCCCUUGAGGCGUGGCUUCCGGAGCUAACGCGUUAAAUCGACCGCCUGGGGAGUACGGCCGCAAGGUUAAAACUCAAAUGAAUUGACGGGGGCCCGCACAAGCGGUGGAGCAUGUGGUUUAAUUCGAUGCAACGCGAAGAACCUUACCUGGUCUUGACAUCCACAGAACUUUCCAGAGAUGGAUUGGUGCCUUCGGGAACUGUGAGACAGGUGCUGCAUGGCUGUCGUCAGCUCGUGUUGUGAAAUGUUGGGUUAAGUCCCGCAACGAGCGCAACCCUUAUCCUUUGUUGCCAGCGGUUCGGCCGGGAACUCAAAGGAGACUGCCAGUGAUAAACUGGAGGAAGGUGGGGAUGACGUCAAGUCAUCAUGGCCCUUACGACCAGGGCUACACACGUGCUACAAUGGCAUAUACAAAGAGAAGCGACCUCGCGAGAGCAAGCGGACCUCAUAAAGUAUGUCGUAGUCCGGAUUGGAGUCUGCAACUCGACUCCAUGAAGUCGGAAUCGCUAGUAAUCGUAGAUCAGAAUGCUACGGUGAAUACGUUCCCGGGCCUUGUACACACCGCCCGUCACACCAUGGGAGUGGGUUGCAAAAGAAGUAGGUAGCUUAACCUUCGGGAGGGCGCUACCACUUGUAUCAGUGGG